rnacentral:tRNA from 1 species
UCCCUGGUGGUCCAGUGGUUAAGACUGGGCACUUUUACUGCCAGGGUUCAGGGUUCAAUCCCUGGUAAGGGAA